rnacentral:rRNA from 1 species
UGGGGAAUUUUGGACAAUGGGCGAAAGCCUGAUCCAGCAAUGCCGCGUGUGUGAAGAAGGCCUUCGGGUUGUAAAGCACUUUUGUCCGGAAAGAAAUCCUUGGCUCUAAUACAGUCGGGGGAUGACGGUACCGGAAGAAUAAGCACCGGCUAACUACGUGCCAGCAGCCGCGGUAAUACGUAGGGUGCAAGCGUUAAUCGGAAUUACUGGGCGUAAAGCGUGCGCAGGCGGUUUGCUAAGACCGAUGUGAAAUCCCCGGGCUCAACCUGGGAACUGCAUUGGUGACUGGCAGGCCAGAGUAUGGCAGAGGGGGGUAGAAUUCCACGUGUAGCAGUGAAAUGCGUAGAGAUGUGGAGGAAUACCGAUGGCGAAGGCAGCCCCCUGGGCCAAUACUGACGCUCAUGCACGAAAGCGUGGGGAGCAAACAGGAUUAGAUACCCUGGUAGUCCACGCCCUAAACGAUGUCAACUAGUUGUUGGGGAUUCAUUUCCUUAGUAACGUAGCUAACGCGUGAAGUUGACCGCCUGGGGAGUACGGUCGCAAGAUUAAAACUCAAAUGAAUUGACGGGGUCAUAGCUGUUUCCU